ensembl:lncRNA
GGGCGUAGCCGCCGCCGAGGAAGGUUCUCGUUGCUCUCCCUCUUCCCCGCCCCUCUCCCGGGUGUAGCUGCGCUCGGGGGAGGCCCUCCAUCCGCCCUCCGCUGCCGUAGCGCCCUCCUCGGCCUCCCCUCCCCGAUGUAAGUCAGGCUCCGAGUAACCGACCGGGCUCCGAGCCCCUACACAGGGUUCUGGGCCCUGUGAAGUGACCUCAUUACAGUUGUGCGGCGUUGUGGCGGAGCGUGUGGCACUGGGGGGGGGCUGAGGGAAGGGCCGGAGCCUGCUCACAUCUCUGCUCUGUGGGAACGGCGCUGCUGGGUGGGAAAGGCAGUGCCAGUGUUCUUUGUGUGCUGGUGGAUCCUGACGGAGGAGCAGUGUGGCAUGCGUUACUGUUAGGCCGAAGAGGGCCUGCACUGUUAGCACAGGGAUUUAGAUGUGUGUGCAGGGAAAACGGACCUGUGUCAUGCAGGUACUGUGAGUGUCCCUUGAUUCGGGGGGGGAGGGGAGGGUGAAAAAUGUACGUUUUCCAAUUCUAACACGUUUUUCUUCUCAAGGAGUGCGGCACAUUGUACUGUUUGGGUGGGGUGCUCAUGCGUUCAGAGCAGUUUGGUGCUGGUUCCCAUAUCUCAUUUUCAUAUGGUACAACGUAACGUGAGCCUCUGCACCUGACCCAGAAAGCGAACUUAACAGCUAAAAUUGCUGAGGCGAAUGAUGGUGAUCUGUUAAAUUUAGAAAUGUUUGGCAGCGCUUUUCCAGUCUUAAUACGUUCACAGGUGUGGUUUGUUUCUUUUCUGUGCAGUAGCAACCUGGUGGGGCAGGAAGCUUGAAUUUCUGGUGGAUGCGUUAUGUUAAAACGACUGGAAUGGAAGUUAUUGAGUAUGUGACUAAUGUAGAAGAAUCCUGUAUAAUAGACACUACUUAAUGUGUUACAUAAGUAACGUGAGGUGGAGCCUGGUUGCAUAAGAAACAGCUGGGAAUGGGGGAGCUGCUGUACGCAGUCCGUAUUAGCUGCAAUUAGAGCCUGCAGGUUAUGUGUGCCGGGGAGGGGAGCAGUGGGCUUGGACAUCUGAUAGUGCUACAUUUUUCCUUUGUACCAGGAAAGAAAUAGAGAGAGUAAUAAAGGAUGACAGUGCAAAGCUUUUUGAAGUUUGGAAUCUCAUCUGAGCUUAACUUCUGUGAUGUACGCUGCUUCCUGAAAGAAACCCCCCUUUUUUUUUUGCAUGUCAGAUGGUGGCUGUCAGCUGAGCCUUGCAGCAGCCAGUUCUGUGCAGGGUACUGCAAAGAGCAGGAUUCUUGAUCCUAGAGGUUGUUAACGCUGUUCAGAAAAACGAAGCAGUGGAAGUAGUGUUAGGAGGAGGCCGUUGGUUUGUUGACCCAACAUGUAAGUGACUGGAUUAUUGUUUCUUCCUGUAUAGACAUACUAUAGCACAAGAUUAUCAGGGUGGAUGCAGUCACCAGGAGGAUGGCAAGUAUGUGUGGGAGCACUACAAAUCCUUUUCCUACAACAUUAAGAGACUUGUCUACUGUCCUCUACAUUGUCCCUUGAUUUUAUUCAGCGAUUAUUAAUCAUGAUGAUGAUACCUGGAACCAGGUUUGUAUUGGUGUUAGCUCUUACCCCAGAGAGGGACAAGAAUAACCUGGGUUAAAAGCAUGGUGUCCUGGAUAGACAAAGGGACAGAACAUGGAUGGACUCAUGCAUCUGCUCUAUCAGGCAGACUUGCAGGUGGAGGUGUCUGUGUUCACUACUGACAACGGAAGAAAUAGCAAGGCUCCAUUUGCCUCCACUUAAGAAGUUUCCUUUCCAGCUUAUAUUGCUUCCUGCCAGGCAUGAAAUCAAACCCCUUUGUAUGCAGGAAUAAUUCAGUCCACCUCGAACCAGUUCCAAUCCACUCUGCAGAUGAAAUAUGAGAACUACUAAAAAUAAUCACCAACAGGGCAAGAAAUAAAUAAUCCACAACUUUGUCCAGCGAGAAAUACUUACUGACUUGCUCAUCAGAAAGUAAUUAUCCUUACUGAAACUGUCUACGAGGUUAACAGUGCAUAUCUGAUCCUGUCUUUGGAAAACAGUGGGCAAGAGACUUUUUGAGGUCCUUUCUGGUCUGAUUGUAAGGAUAGCACUAUAGAGACCAAUAUAUAUAGAGACUAUCAAGACCAGCAUCGAAUUGUUACAACUCUUGGAAGCACUGUGAAAGAAAAAGGACAAAAGAUAAAGAAUGAACAGAAAGCAAAUUUUCUAAAAUGCUUUAGUCUAAGCAAGUACAUAAAAUCUUUGAGCCAGAAAAUGAAGUAGAAAGGAAAACUGUGCAUGCUAAAUACUAUUUAGCUUGAAAUUGGAACAACUAGUGUUUUUGAGAAUGAGCCACAACAUUUGAAUGAGGUUAUUCCUUUGAAAGAAUACCUGUUAUGUAAGUGAAAAGAGGUGCUUUAAAGGUCUUGAGGAAAUUAUUUAAAUUGUUAUGAAAAUCCAAAUACAUCCCAAGGACCUCUAGAUGUGAAAAAAAAAAGGGGGGGGGGGGGGGGGGGGGGAGGGAGAGAGAGAGAGAGAGAGAGAGAGAGAAACAACUCAUAAGUCCUCUCAGGACAAUGAUAAAGUGAGGAAAAUCUAUACUGGUUAAAACAAGAUUGCCACAGGCAGCACUGACCCUAAAGUCAAUCUUGACACUUACUUAUUCUUAGGAUUUUAAUGCAAGAGUUUCUUGAAGCUCAGGUGGAAUGAAUAGCAGAAAAGAAAUAACAGAUAUGUAUUUGCUGCAUUCUUUCACUGUGUGAGCAACUGAACCUCAGCUGGGCUGAUUCUUUGUAGCUGCUCAGGCAGAAAGCCAGACCUUUCAGGUGGUGAGUUACCGGCAGAACGGGAGAUCUGGCAUGCAUGCAAACAGUGCACUGCUGGGCAGGGGAAAGCCCAGAAAUUUACUAUUAAAGUGCCCAAUACCGCUCUUCCACGUGGGCUUUUUAAGCACCAAGAUACCAAGCAACCAGCAGGAAGGUAGAAUGUAGCAAUGGGAUUCCAAGAACCGUGAGAAGGGACAAAGAAUGUGGCAUGACCCCACUCUGCUCACCUGGAAUACAGCUUUACCUAUCUUACAGGAUAGGUAAAAGAAUAACGUAGGGAACUUUGAUAUGCGUGCACAGUAAAAUUAGUAUAGAGUUUUAAUACCUCUUCUGCUCCAUAGGCCUAUCAAUGUAUGCCAUUCCCCCAUCCUCCCUCUCUCCUUUCCUCCCUCACGCUGACGAAUCCUUUAAUACUCUGAAGUUUGAGUUCUCCUCUCUGUAAUUUUAUUUUUUCUGUUUGAAAGUAGUUGGAGCCCUUCUGAUUUCCUUGCUUUGUUAGUGCAUGUCCCUUCAAGCAAAUGUUCCCUGACAGAGCCAGGCUUUAGCACAGCCCCAUCCCUUCCUCUAACAGAUUCUGCUUCCCUACGGGACAGACCUUCUACUUCUGGACAUCUGCUUAGGUGCCUGAGCUCACAUGAGACCUGAUGCUGUUGAAAGCUUCUUGUCCAUGUAAUUCAUGCUUGCAUAUCAAGAAAUCUCUGUUCAUGAACACAAUGUAUAUAUCUAAGUAAACUAAGGUAACUUUUAUUCUGUAUGCC